rnacentral:rRNA from 1 species
CCUACGGGUGGCAGCAGUGAGGAAUAUUGGUCAAUGGACGAGAGUCUGAACCAGCCAAGUCGCGUGAAGGAUGACUGCCCUAUGGGUUGUAAACUUCUUUUAUAUGGGAAUAAAAUGCUCCACGUGUGGGGUUUUGUAUGUACCAUAUGAAUAAGGAUCGGCUAACUCCGUGCCAGCAGCCGCGGUAAUACGGAGGAUCCGAGCGUUAUCCGGAUUUAUUGGGUUUAAAGGGAGCGUAGGUGGAUUGUUAAGUCAGUUGUGAAAGUUUGGGGCUCAACCGUAAAAUUGCAGUUGAAACUGGUAGUCUUGAGUACAGUAGAGGUGGGCGGAAUUCGUGGUGUAGCGGUGAAAUGCUUAGAUAUCACGAAGAACUCCGAUUGCGAAGGCAGCUCACUGGACUGCAACUGACACUGAGGCACGAAAGUGUGGGUAUCAAACAGGAUUAGAUACCCCGGUAGUC